rnacentral:rRNA from 1 species
GCAGCCGCCGCGGUAACACGUAGGGUGCGAGCGUUAAUCGGAAUUACUGGGCGUAAAGCGUGCGCAGGCGGUUAUAUAAGACAGAUGUGAAAUCCCCGGGCUCAACCUGGGACCUGCAUUUGUGACUGUAUAGCUAGAGUACGGUAGAGGGGGAUGGAAUUCCGCGUGUAGCAGUGAAAUGCGUAGAUAUGCGGAGGAACACCGAUGGCGAAGGCAAUCCCCUGGACCUGUACUGACGCUCAUGCACGAAAGCGUGGGGAGCAAACAGGAUUAGAUACCCGUGUAGUCCCUGUCUCUUAUAC